CAGAGGCAGUUGGGGAUAUUACACUGGAAGGUGUUAACGGCCACCAUCAAAUGGUUCUUUCAUCUCCAGGCAAUUACAGAGCUGGGCCUGCUAACCAGAUGCAAGGGGCUCCCUCUUCCCCUCAUGUCUUCCUUCUGCAUCCCAGACAAACACAAGUGCCAUCAACUUGAGUCCAAGGCCCUAUAAACCAAUUAGAGGUUUAUUUUGAACUUAAAAAGAAGAAAAGGACUGUUUUGCCUUUAUAGAUGUCAGAAGGAGUUUGCAAACCAACAGUGCAACUCUGAAAGAGACUCUUGUAACAACUCCUGUCUCCUUAAGAGAACAGCUUUGCGUUGCCUCUAAAAAUAGGGAGAGAGCAGUGGGGGAUGGGAAGCGGACUGAAUGAGGAAAAGGAGCAGCCAGGUAUCCGGCAGGGAAGGCUACAGGUGAGAUGGUACAGGGAAGGCAGUUGCUGCUGAGGUGUUGGCCAGCUGGAAAGACAAGUUAUUGCAAAGCUACAGGGUCACAAACAAGAUAAGAAAGUAAACUAAUUGUGUCUGUCACAAGAAAACUUGUGAUGAGCCAGAGGAUGGUUACGAGCAUGGAGCAUCACCAACACAGCACUGCAAGCCUGGUCCUGGAGAGGCAGAAGCAGCACAACCCAGCACUUUCCACAGCUUAACAUUAGGCCCAUCUCAGCUGGGGCUUUAUGUGAGUAAACAUGACUCCAGGAGUUUUUUUUCAGAGAGUUAUUUUUAAAUACCUGACCAUAUGAGCUUCCUUGGAAUAGGAAAAAAGAGGAGGCAAAACUAAACAGUCAUUACACAUAUAUUUAAAUAUAACAUUAAAAAAACCACAAAAUAUUUAAACUUACUAGAAAUGCUCACUUUCAUUUUAAUUUUAAAGUUGGCAGUGGACCUGGACCAAAAAAAGGUUAUAGUCUAACUGAGAUGAAGCAGUGUGGAUUUUCUGAAACCAGUCUUUAAAAUAUAUAAGAGGGGAAAAAACCCCAAACUUGCCCAGAAUCUCUCACUUAGAAAGUGACAAUUUGGGUUUGAGCUCUUACUCAGAGAUGUGCUAAAAACACUCAGAGCUAGAAGAGCUGAAGUAGGAAAGGAAAUAAAAGUGCACAAUAGGAGAUUGUGGCUGUACAGAGCUCAGUUAACAACACCCAUAUCAACACAUUAGCUCAGGAGGUAGGUUUGACACAGAGUUUUCCCAAGAAGUAUUUGCACUAAUGCCAAAAAAAGUAUUUAUCUACUUCUGUUUUAAAAUAUGGACAUACAAC